AGCAUUUUGUUGCAAAAGGUAGUGUAAACAAAGUCGUGAGACCACAUAUGGCGGUUGAUGUCAGCCCAAUGCUGUAAGGUCGAGGAAGUUGGUGACUUAAUGACAGGGAGCUGGCGAUCAUAGCUUCGUGAAUGGCGGCCAUAACUGUAACCGUCCCAACGUAGCAAAAUUCUUUGUCGAAUAAGUUUCAACCCUCAAAAAAGACGUAAGUAU
rnacentral:ncRNA from 1 species